rnacentral:piRNA from 1 species
UUGGUUGUUGGCGUGUUUUUC